UCACUGUUAGUAGACUGGUGUGA
rnacentral:siRNA from 1 species